AAAAACAUCAGCAUUUCCCAGUUCAAGGAGAGAGGCUACGUAUUUGUGGGCAGAAGCCAGUCACAACCAAGGCCGCUCACUCACGUGGCGACAGGACCCUCCACAGCAGCCUGAAAACUGAAACUGCGCUGGUCACACGUUGAUGACGUCCUGGGACAGCAUCCGGCCCCACCGAAACGCUGACAAGAGGGGCCCGGGCCUGAGUGGUUCGAUUUCCUUCUCCUGCUCGACUAUCAGGGGGUUAGAAGGGGGUCAUUCCUACCCUUCAUCACUGGCAUCGGAGGAUCCCGGAAAAAUGAUUUCCCUGGAGAUGAAGUGCUCGAUCGUCAAGCUAAUGACUUCCAAAUCGACAAUGUAACACGACAGUGAACAAAAAUGACAUGUUUACCGGUCGUGUGACUCUGUUUCACCUCUGGUAUUUCUACCCUAAGCAGACGAAACUGUACGCGAUUGCUAAGUACCAGGUGACCCUUAGGCAGCCAAUGUUACUGUUCCAGGAAAACAAGAAAGGACCGGACGGAUGUCUGGUCGCAAAGAACCCCCGGUGGGCAAGCUGCUACGAAGUCUGUCCGCCAGGCGGGUCCUGUUCCAGGGGCCUUGACGAAGCAGGAUCCCCAGCAGCACCUUCUCUGAAGAAGUAGUGAUUCCAGAGUGAACCUUGGAGGGUUUGUCCGAGCAGCAGUGGACAAGGCCACCCUCUUCUCUGCCUGUGCCACGGCUGAUGGGCCCGUCCCGGCCAAAGGCAAGGAAACCCCCUCCUGGUUGGACAGACCAGGACUGCCAGAGACUGGCAGCCAAUUUCCAGCCUGGACUGACUGCUGGACAAGAGUGUCGUGCCUUGACUCCCACCGUCGAGAGUCUGGAGACAGUUGGAUCUGCGAGCUCAGAUGAUGUCUGUAUCCUUCGCGGUGUCCUUCUCACUUCUCCCGACACGGCUUUCCUCUCUUCUUAAGCCCUUUGCUUCCUCCCUGCAUCCUCACCAGCUCCAGGCUCACGGUCCUCACCUCCUUCCUGGUUGCUCUGAGCAAAUUCCCAGGACAGAUGCUGAUUGGAUCUACUUGGUCACAUGGCCGUUUCUGAGCCAAGCACCAGGCAGGGAUGGAACAUAGUCCUGGCAGGCCUGGGCUAUGUGCCUACUCCCCGAUCCGAAAGGAGGUAGCCCUCCUCUCACAAACCACAUCCUUGUCUCAUCUUCCAUUUUGUUUUCUUCUCCAUUUGUCCCCUUUUCCAUUCUCUUUCCCUUCUUUCAGUUAUCUAAAUAAUUCUGGCCUUUUCUAUUGGGACAAAGGAGAAGAUGGAGAAGUGUUUCAAUAAGCUUGUUUAUGUCUACAAAAAAGAAAACCUUGGGGCGCCCGGGUGGCUCAGUCGGUGGAGCGUCCGACUUCGGCUCAGGUCAUGAUCUCGUGGUUCGUGAGUUCGAGCCCCCUGUCGGGCUCUGUGCUGACAGCUCGGAGCCUGGAGCCCGCUUCCGAUUCUGUGUCUGCCUCCCUCUCUGCCCUGCUCACGCUCUGUCUCUCUCUGUCUCUCAAAAAAUGAAUAAACGUUUAAAAAAAAAAAGUUGAGGGCAAACCACGA